ACGUUCUUUCCAGUGCCGCCGCUUCCUAGGCAGCGCCGGCGACGCCGCCACUCUCCCUAGCGCCGGCUACCGCGCCCCACUCCGGCGACCCCUCAAGCAGAUGUCCCGCAGCCGCGAAUCGGUUUCUUGGCUCCACGCUUCUCUGCCCCUAAGCUAAACCUAACUUCCAACCUCCUCAAUCCUAAAUGCAGCCGCCGGCAAAACUCCGGCGAGGUAAGGAUUCAGAGGAAGUUCCCAGGCCCCUACCGCUGCUACCACUUCGAUUCCUCCCUUCUAUCUCCUUUUCCCUGAUCUCUAGUGUGUUAUACUGGUAAGGUGUUCUUUCCCUUAUGAUUUAUGGUUGUGAUGCACUGAUGAUACUUGGAGACUAAUCCUAAUGAUCAACUUGAUGACUCUAUGCUAUUGAUUGUAUUUACUAGUUUUAGGGUUCUAGAUCAAUUCAUUUGCUAGAUUGGAUGAUGCCUGUAUGCCCAUGAUGAAUGAAUGCUCAUAUGAAUAUAUCUUAUGAAAAUGCAGGACUGAAAUUAAAAGCACACUAACAUGAUCAAGUCCCUAUGGAUAUUACUGCUUCCUGAUAAUUCAUAAGCUACUACUAAUUUUGCACUUAAACUGAAAAAAAUGAAGAUAUACAUAUGCACAUAUUACACAUAUAAAUCCCAUAGAAUUAGUAAACUCAUGCAUUGUUUAUCCUUGAUAUUACUAGUGUCCAGAUUUUCAUCUCUAUAUGCUUGUGUGAUUAAUAACCAAAUUUAUACAUUAUUUAAUUACAGUGGUUGAUGAGGACAUGGAUUAAACUAUUGGUCAACUAAUUAUAUACAUAUCCACUUGAUUCAGAUGCUAUGCUCUAACCUCUUCUCUAGAUUAUUUUCUGUAAGAACCUAUGGUUUUCUGUUUGGUAUCCUUAAUUGCUCAGUUCUAUUCUUUUUACUAAAACCUGCUGCUACAUGAUCUUCUAUAUUUUAAUCUGAAAUACCAGUGCUUCCUGAACUUGGUAUUAUAUAUAAAUGAAUGUUUCACCCUAAAUCCAAUUAUAUGGUGAUUCUAUACAAUCUAAAAUAUAUACUACUGUUUACUAAUUGAACUAGCCUAAUUGAUAGAGUUGUUAUGGUCCUUAUGUUUCAUGAUAAAUUGAAUAUGUGCUAGGGUUCAGAUACUAAUUUCCAAGUCCAUGGCUAAAUCUAAAAUCUGAUUUUAUCUAUAUGUCAAGAAUAUCAAUAUUUGUACUAUGAAUAAAGAUCUGCAGUUACUAAAUUUGAUAAAGACAUAAGACUGAUGAUAUCUUUAUAUACAUUCUACUGUUUCUUGAUUUAUCACCUGAGCACCUGUUUAUCUAUAGUAAAAUUUUAGUUACACAAACCGUUCUGAAGAUCAAACUAUUAAUGUGAAUAUUUUACUGAAUCAGAGAUGUUCUGGUUCAGCUUCUAAUGGAUGCAAAUGCAACACCCAAGGCCUACACAUACUAGUAUAUGCACAGAUCAACAUAGCUGCCAUCUCCUGAGGUUCAUUUUUCAGGUUUAAUGCAUAUAACUAAAUUACCUUAUUUGAUGGUUCUACUGUGGCUGUGGAAGACUAAUGACCGUGUGACUCUCCUCUGGUUCUACAGCUUCUUUUGAAAUUGGUCAGGGUGUUGCUCCUCCUCUUGUUUACUGCUGCCCUUCCGGAUCUGCUACUUGUUUCUCCUCUUUAAAUUGAAACCCCUUGCUCUUCUUGAAAC
rnacentral:sRNA from 1 species